UACGUAGGGUGCAAGCGUUGUCCGGAAUUAUUGGGCGUAAAGAGCUUGUAGGCGGUUUGUCGCGUCUGCUGUGAAAUUUCGGGGCUCAACCCCGAACUUGCAGUGGGUACGGGCAGACUAGAGUGUGGUAGGGGAGACUGGAAUUCCUGGUGUAGCGGUGAAAUGCGCAGAUAUCAGGAGGAACACCGAUGGCGAAGGCAGGUCUCUGGGCAAUAACUGACGCUGAGGAGCGAAAGCGUGGGGAGCAAACAGG
rnacentral:rRNA from 1 species